rnacentral:rRNA from 1 species
UACGGGGGGGGCAAGCGUUGUUCGGAAUUACUGGGCGUAAAGGGCCAGUAGGCGGCCAACUAAGUCGGAUGUGAAAUCCCCAGGCUUAACCUGGGAACUGCAUCCGAUACUGGAUGGCUUGAAUUCGGGAGAGGGAUGCAGAAUUCCAGGUGUAGCGGUGAAAUGCGUAGAUAUCUGGAGGAAUACCGGUGGCGAAGGCGGCAUCCUGGACCGACAUUGACGCUGAAUGGCGAAAGCUAGGGGAGCAAACGGG